rnacentral:lncRNA from 1 species
GACCAACCAUUACAAAAUUCUUCUUAGAUUGAUCCAUCAAUGUGGUAAAAGAACUUGUCGAUUUUGUAUUCCUGUCGAACUAGCUUUAAUCCCAACUUGCUUUGGCAAUAUUUUUAAAGUAAUAAUGAUUUCACCAACCAAGUGCUAAAAAGAAAAUGUCGUGUCACAGAUAUAGUAGUUAGACGUGCAGCGAGCCCAAUAAGUUCAGCCCAACUCAUGUCAAGAAUUGGUCAAUCUCUGUA